rnacentral:rRNA from 1 species
CCUUUGUUCUGAGUACCCAUUGUUUCCUCGGCGGGCUUGCCCGCCGGUGGACACCCAAAAACCAUUGCAGUAGUAGUAACUUCAGUAACAAACAAAUAUUAAAACUUUCAACAACGGAUCUCUUGGUUCUGGCAUCGAUGAAGAACGCAGCGAAAUGCGAUAAGUAGUGUGAAUUGCAGAAUUCAGUGAAUCAUCGAAUCUUUGAACGCACAUUGCGCCCUUCGGUAUUCCGUUGGGCAUGCCUGUUCGAGCGUCAUUUAAACCUUCAAGCUCUGCUUGGUGUUGGGUGUUUGUCCCGCCUCUGCGCGUGGACUCGCCUUAAAUUCAUUGGCAGCCGGUAAGUUGGCUUCGCGCGCAGCACAUUGCGAUGCGAUUCUGAUAGACCCCCUUCCAUUAAGCUCCUUUUUUACUUUGACCUCGGAUCAGGUAGGGAUACCCGCUGAACUUAAGCAUAUCAAUAAGCGGAGGA